AGCGGCGUGCCUAACACAUGCAAGUCGAGCGAUGAGGCUCCCUUCGGGGGGUACAUCAGCGGCGAACGGGUGAGUAACACGUGGGUGACCUUCCCCAAAGACGGGGAUAACUCUUGGAAACAGGGGCUAAUACCCGAUGUGCUCAGCAGUUCACUCUGUUGAGUAAAGCUAUGGCGCUUUGGGAUGGGCCCGCGGCCCAUCAGCUAGUUGGUAGGGUAAAGGCCUACCAAGGCUAAGACGGGUAGGGGGCGUGAGAGCGCGAUCCCCCACACUGGCACUGAGACACGGGCCAGACUCCUACGGGAGGCAGCAGUGAGGAAUAUUGCGCAAUGGACGAAAGUCUGACGCAGCGACGCCGCGUGGGCGAUGAAGGCCUUCGGGUCGUAAAGCCCUUUUCUGGGGGAAGAGAAAGGACGGUACCCCAGGAAUAAGCCCCGGCUAACUACGUGCCAGCAGCCGCGGUAAAACGUAGGGGGCAAGCGUUAUCCGGAUUUACUGGGCGUAAAGAGCGUUGAGGCGGUUUUGUAAGUUGGGCGUGAAAGCCCUGGGCUUAACUCAGGGAAGCCGUUCAAUACUGCGAAACUUGAGGGCAGCAGAGGGAGGUGGAAUUCCCGGAGUAGCGGUGAAAUGCGUAGAUAUCGGGAGGAACACCAGUGGCGAAGGCGGCCUCCUGGGCUGCUCCUGACGCUGAAGGCGAAAGCUAGGGGAGCGAACGGGAUUAGAAACCCCGGUAGUCCUAGCCGUAAACGAUGGAUGCUAGGUGUGGGGGGUGUAGAUUCCCUCCGUGCCGCAGUUAACGCGUUAAGCAUCCCGCCUGGGGAGUACGGCCGCAAGGCUAAAACUCAGACGAAUUGACGGGGGCCCGCACAAGCAGCGGAGCGUGUGGUUUAAUUCGAUGCUGCACGAAGAACCUUACCUGGGCUUGACAUACAGGUAGUAGUGAAGUGAAAGCGGAUCGACCCUUCG
rnacentral:rRNA from 1 species